rnacentral:rRNA from 1 species
GUGAGGAAUAUUGCGCAAUGGAGGCAACUCUGACGCAGCCAUGCCGCGUGCAGGAAGAAGGCGCUACGCGUUGUAAACUGCUUUUAACCGGGAAGAAACCCCAGGACGUGUCCUGGGUUGACGGUACCGGAGGAAUAAGCACCGGCUAACUUCGUGCCAGCAGCCGCGGUAAUACGAAGGGUGCAAGCAUUAUCCGGAUUCAUUGGGUUUAAAGGGUGCGUAGGCGGAGCGUUAAGUCAGUGGUGAAAUCCUGCAGCUUAACUGUAGACUUGCCAUUGAUACUGGCGCUCUUGAGUGCGCUUGAAGUGGGCGGAAUGUGCCGUGUAGCGGUGAAAUGCUUAGAUAUGGCACAGAACACCAAUUGCGAAGGCAGCUCACUAAGGCGAUACUGACGCUGAGGCACGAAAGCGUGGGGAUCGAACAGGAUUAGAUACCCCAGUAGUCC